rnacentral:rRNA from 1 species
AUUGAACGCUGGCGGCAGGCCUAACACAUGCAAGUCGAGCGGCAGCACGGGUACUUGUACCUGGUGGCGAGCGGCGGACGGGUGAGUAAUGCCUAGGAAUCUGCCUGGUAGUGGGGGAUAACGUCCGGAAACGGGCGCUAAUACCGCAUACGUCCUACGGGAGAAAGUGGGGGAUCUUCGGACCUCACGCUAUUAGAUGAGCCUAGGUCGGAUUAGCUAGUUGGUGAGGUAAUGGCUCAACAAGGCGACGAUCUGUAACUGGUCUGGGAGGAGUGUCAGUCACACUGGAACUGAGACACGUUCCAGACGCAUACGGGAGGCAGCAUUGGGGAAUAUUGGACAAUGGGCGAAAGCCUGAUCCAGCCAUGCCGCGUGUGUGAAGAAGGUCUUCGGAUUGUAAAGCACUUUAAGUUGGGAGGAAGGGCAGUUACCUAAUACGUGAUUGUUUUGACGUUACCGACAGAAUAAGCACCGGCUAACUCUGUGCCAGCAGCCGCCGUAA